GGAAAGGUUGUGAAAGUUGUCUCAUGGCGCCACCUGGUGGAAUUUUUGGACAGGAGCAGGAACUCCCUCCUGCAAAUAUACUACAAAUGGAUUCAUCUGCUCUCCUGCUCCCGCUUUGAGCUCAGCUAAUCCUGAGAAAUCACUUUCUUCUGAUGAAGUGGCUAAAAUCUGGACGCUGUCAGCAAGGGAACAUACAAGCCAACCACAAGUGCCUCCAACAGCGUGUUCCUUUUCCUGUGAUAGUUGUUCUCAACCUAGCAACACCACCAGUUCAUCUGGGCAGCUUUAAAACAUGCAGCCUGGGUUCCAGUUCCAGAGCCAUGAGCCAGCCUUCCUCCAGGUGGGAGCUGCCCUGUCCCCGGGGAGCAGGGUUUGUGGCUCCUUCCCUCUCACAUGGCAGACUGAGUUUCUGAGGGCAGGGAUCAUGCUCAGCUCUUUUUUGUAUUCCCAGUCCCAGACAGGGGCCCUGGCCCUUUGUCAAAACUUGGGGACUGCUCUGCAAACUGCAUGAGAAGGCAUGAGGCACUAGCCCAACUAAAGGGAGGAGGGGACCCCAAAAACAGAGCCCAUUCUUCCUGCCUUGACUGGGUUGGAUCCUGGUGACUUCUCUGUCACCUGUGUACUCAGGGACAUUAUUCUCAAGUUGUAAGUGCAGGUAGCUCUACCCCGCAGCACGUGUGGGAUGAAGAAGGAAGGAAGAAAGAAAGGAGGGAGGCAGGGAGGGAGGGAGGAAUGAAAGAACCUAGGUCAAUAGUAUAAAUGUAGCUCUGAGCCGGGGGUCCCAAGGCUCCCUGUGACAUCUGCCUGUAUCCCAGCCUCUCUUUAAAUGAAGAAGCAGCCUUCCUUGAAGACCCACCAGGUGGGAACUGCUGCCCACUCCAGAAGCCUGGGGAGGGUUUCUCUCAAGACUGUGGCAUUCGCGCUUCUCUCUCCCUCCUCUGCUGCACUUGCUUUUCCUUGGAGUCAAGUGACAGGUCAGGCCCAGCCCAGGGUGCAGAGGGUGCAGUGACCCUGGGACACAUGGAUGUUGUGGGAGUGACUCAUUGUGGCCUCACAGCUCAGGAAGGGGGUGCAUGUGCUGUCUCCUUGCCUCUGCCUUAUUCCAGGGGAGUUAGACUCUUGCCUUUUGCUCCCAAGCCCUUGAGAAACCAGGGCUGGAUCUACUUGGGAUCUAACUACCAGUGCCCUAGUUAUGCAGGAGUUAGAAACUGAAAUGCCCUCAGGGACCAGAUAGGUGCCAGAGAACCGUGAGAAGCAGCUGGGUCCCAGGCACCAGGGAGGGGUGCGGUCUGUGGAGGACUGGGCGGGGCAGACCCCGCUAAAGGCUUCAUCGCGCUGCACAGCACGUUGCGGGGUAAGGCUGCCACCACUGCAGCAGGGAUAUUGGUGCUCCUCCUGGCUCACAGCAGGCCCUGGGGUCUGUGUUCUGGCUCCUCCUCCCCCAGGAGCUGCGUGGUCUCAGGGAAUUUAGCUGCUCUGCUAAGCCUCAGUUUUCUCUAUAAAUGGGGGAAAUAAUGCCCCCUCUUGGGGUUGACGUGCAGGAAAAGGGGAAGUUUUAUAUUCCUUAUGUAUUCCAUAACAUAUUCUUGAUAUAGCACCUCUAUUUGUUUUCUAUGCCAUGUCACAAGUCACCAAAAACUUAGCAGCUUAAAACAACACACAUUUAGUAUCUCACAGUUCCUGGGCAUGGCUUAGCAGGUCCUCUGCAGAGCUGCCAACAGUGCCAGUCAGAGCUGGAUUCUCAUCUGGAGGCUCGACUGGGAAGGGUCCACUUCCAAGCUUCCUAGAAAGAAUAAGCUGCGCUUUCUUGCAGGUGAGAAGCUCCAUGAAAUCUGGCCUCGUGUCUGUCUUCUUUGUUGUUCUAGUCCUGCGGUCCACCGCAGUGCUUGGCAUGUAGUAGGUGCUCAAUAAGUAGUUACUGAUGGAAGGAACACUCAAGAUUGUACUUUAAACAUGCUCUUAAUAUUGGGAUGAGUCAGAGUUGGCCUGGCCCAAAUCUGGAAUCUUCUGAAUUGGAGUCUGUGACGAUGAGUGCUGCUAAGGGCUGUACAUACAUGACCUUGCUUAAUCCUCAGCAGAACGCUGAGAGGAAGAUUCUGCCAUUUUCUUCAACUAGCAGAUGAGAAGACAUCAUGAGAUUGUGGAACUACUAACGGAAAGCUGUGAUUUGAACUUGGCUCUCCAACUCAGAACCUCUAUUCACUUACCUAGUGACUUUCCAGGACACCAGGGUGACCACAGUCCCCUCUAGACCCCCCUCCUGCAGCCCUGGCUGGCUCCCUUGAUUGCCAGCAGGCAGCUCAGUAGCCGUGUGCUCAGUCACAGGUGCUGAGGAAGCAUCGUACACUUGGCCCCUUGUCCUGAAGUGGGGCUUCACCUGCAGAAAAUGGAGGAAGGGCAGGAGGUGCCAGCAUCAACUGGGAGAAUGCCAGUUCUCCAGUGCUCCUCCUCCUCUAGCCGAUUUCUAGGAGCCUUGUGGUCCAGGGGUUCUUUCAGACUACAGAGGAGGGCAGGUGGGGCUGCCGUGGUCUAGGAGGAGGGCAGGGGCAUGCCUUGCAGUGGGUGCUGUGUGUCCUGCGGCUUCCAUUUCUGCCCGCUUCUUGGCGGGGCCUGCCUGAUAAGGGGAAGGUGAUAGGAAACUGAUACCCGCCUGUGCUGGGCCCCCUUGAACCAUGUGGGGCUUACAGAGCCCCCGGGCCAUGGAGCGGUUCUGAGGGACACUGGAGGAGGGGUUCUAGCUUCUCCCCUCAGACUCCACAGAAUACCCCAGGUAGGGACUAGAUUCUGGCUGGAGUCAAGGCACUCAGACCUCUGCUGGGCAAUUUGGCCCAAGCCUCUGUUGCACAGAUGGGACACUGAAGGCCAGUGAGGCAACGGGCUUGCCAAGAUCACACAGCCCAUCAGUGUCAGAGCUGGUGCUGGUUCUCUAAACUGGAUGCGCUCUGUGGCUUCUUUGACUGAACAGUUCAUCUGGCCCACAGGCCAUCCGAAGGGCGUUUGGUGGAGGGUCCUAGUUUGACGCCUGGCUUGAAGAGCGGAUCCCUGGCUCUGCUGUGGAGGUCCUGCUGGGACCAGCCAUUUCUGAUCAUGGCUGCCAGAAGGUGGCGCUAGGCACCCAGCUGCCACUUAAUUUCCAGAAAAAGAGAAUGGCAACCCGGGAUCUGGGUGUAAUUAGGGCAAGAGGCCAGCUUUGGAGCUCAGCUUCCAAUCACCCUCCCGCCCGGGCAUGCUUGUGCGUGGGCACCCAGGGGCAGGGGAGGGACUGGAGACCGCACAUUGGGUUCCUCUGGUCCCAGACCCUUUGGAAGGUUGCAGUGUGGGCAGUGAAUGGGCGCCCAGGUGUGCUCCAUUUACUCAUCUUGACUAGAUGAUAACCAGAGAUGGAAUAAAAGCAGCCAGGAUGGGUGGGUGCCUCUCUCCAACAGCAAGACUCAGCCUGGGCCUCAGCUCAGGCCUUUUCACCUGGCUCAGCUCCCCGGCACACCCCCUCGCUUGGCACAGGGCACUUCGUCCCCUGCUGGGGAAGGGCCAGAGAGCUCAGGAUGCCCCUGAGAGAGGCUGUCUCAUUCCUGGGAACUUCCCCUCCUCCCUUCACCUUUCCUGCGCUCUCUCCAUCUCUCCUUCCUGUCCUCUCCCCUCGCUCAUCUCUCCUGCCCCUUCUUAUCUCUUUCCUCACGCUCACCUCGUCCCAGUUCCUCCAGGGACCCUGCAGGUCUAGCCCCCACCCCCAGCACCUCAUCUGCAGAGGCAAACAGGGACCAAUACCAGUGAGUUUCUAGGAUGUGGUUUCCAUGGUGACGGUACAUCUCCUGCCUCCUUGGUGCUCAGCCCUGGGCGGGUUGCCGUGGAUACUCUCACCUCACUGAGGAGUGAUUUGUGGGACUGUUUUUCUUCUUUACUUCUUCUUCUUCUCUCCAGAAAUUCCGCUAGCCCAGACAGCGUUUUCCCCACUCACGGCGAACCUGAAGCCUUCUCCAAAGGGCUUCACACCCAGGGCCACUGAGGCCUGGAAAGCAUUUUAUUUAUACGAGGUAUUCCUGGUAACCUUCUCCGCCUUUCAUAGGGUGCGUGAGUGGUCACCACAGAGAAACAGGCCAAAGCUGACCCGGUGCCCACCUUUUCUGCCCACAGUGUCCUUCCAGGCCCCUGACUUGUUCCAUGCCGCCAAUGCACGCCAACCCUCAGAGCUUCUGCUCGGCGGCCAUUUUCCUUAAGGGUCUUUGGAGAAAGAGUGAGAGUGAGAGGGUGAGGUGGGAAUAACGAGCAAAGUGAAUCCAGGCAAAAGAGGUAGGUUAGAAGAGGGAGAAGUACCGGAAAGGGAGGAAUGAGAGGUGGGCAGACUGGGGGAGCUCGAAGGGAGAGGGAGAGGUGGAGGGUGAAAGUUGGUCACCAGAGAAAGCCAACCCAUGAGUCCGCAGCAGGAGUCCUCUGGUGUUAAUGCCCUUUAUAAAUCACUCCGCAGCCCCAAACCCAAAACAGGCCUCUUCUUUCUCUGCAAAGUAGAAAAUGUGUUCGUCGACAUAAAAACAUGUUAAGUACAUUGUGGCCCUCGUUCCCCCCAAGUUGAAAGCCAUUACAAUAAUUAAUUAAGGCAGGAGAUUAAUUAAAGAGUCGUUUCCCCCCAUUCUCCCUGAGUAGAUCAAUCAGGAGGCGGGAGAACAUGUGCUACUCGGCAGACAGAGAAGGGGGGCUGGAGGGGAGGCCGAGGGGCAGCAAGGCAGUUACAGACACAGCUAGAGACAAAGGACUUCCGUGCUGGGGGCUGGGGGCUGGGGGCUGGGGCUGAGAGGAGCUGGCAAGGAGGCCCCCAGGAGGGAGAGCUUGCUCUGCUUCCAAGGACCUGUGAUCUGGCUUCCCUUCUUGGUGUUCACAGCGUGAGGGUCGCUGUCACCAUGGAAACAGGCCUGGGGACAGGAGGAAUAUCAGCUCUCUGCUCCUGGACUCCUGGAUUCCCCUCUGGGAGUGAGAGUUCCCAGUGAGCAGAGUUGAGGCCCCAGGAGGCCUUUCUGUGGAGUGGCAUGAGGGUUGGUGGCCUCCCCACUCCCGUGCCAGGCCCAAAACCAACUCCACACGAGCAUUGUCAGGCUGAUGACAAGCCUGAAAGUUCUGUUCCUCACAUGUGCCACACUGCAGACAGGACAGACUGGUAUGAGCUCAGGCUGAGAAUCAUGAGUCUUUUAGGUAACUUUUCUCAUUUUGCUAAAUUUUGAGUUCUUAAUGAUUGCUUUCUCCCUUUCACUCUCCCUCUCUUUCACUCUCUUUCUUCCUCUUUCUUAUGCCUUUGGCCAAUCUAUUUUCCAGCUGAAUUUCAUAUUUCUAAGAAAUGUUUAUAUCAUGUAGUGUGUUUCAUGUGUGCAUAGUGGGUUUAACCCAUUCCACCCUGUGUCUCCGUCUUGCUUACUUUUGAGCCUUCCAGAACUUCCCGAUUGAUUUGUUCAGAAGCACUGCUCUUAUGUUUCUCUAUUUUGUAUGAUAUUUUUCAUAUUUCUAAUAAACAUUAUAAAGGGAUGGUGUUCCAUAGAUGAUUCCCCAU
rnacentral:lncRNA from 10 species